rnacentral:rRNA from 1 species
UACGUAGGGUGCGAGCGUUGUCCGGAAUUAUUGGGCGUAAAGGGCGCGUAGGCGGUCUUGCAAGUCCUGUGUGAAAUCCCUCGGCUCAACUGAGGAACUGCACAGGAAACUGCUUGGCUUGAGUUCGGGAGAGGGAAGCGGAAUUCCGGGUGUAGCGGUGAAAUGCGUAGAUAUCCGGAGGAACACCGGUGGCGAAGGCGGCUUCCUGGACCGACACUGACGCUGAGGCGCGAAAGCUAGGGGAGCAAACGGG